GUCCCUGUGGUGCAGUGGUAGUAUGCUUUGCUCUUGUAUAUAGGGUAACUUAUGUAUGUCCCUUAUCCAGUAUAGUAUUGAAGAGGUUAGCGGUUUAAUUCCUUCUGGGGGCA